rnacentral:rRNA from 1 species
AGUGAACGCUGGCGGUAGGCCUAACACAUGCAAGUCGAACGGCAGCACAGUAAGAGCUUGCUCUUACGGGUGGCGAGUGGCGGACGGGUGAGGAAUACAUCGGAAUCUACUUUUUCGUGGGGGAUAACGUAGGGAAACUUACGCUAAUACCGCAUACGACCUACGGGUGAAAGCAGGGGAUCUUCGGACCUUGCGCGAUUGAAUGAGCCGAUGUCGGAUUAGCUAGUUGGCGGGGUAAAGGCCCACCAAGGCGACGAUCCGUAGCUGGUCUGAGAGGAUGAUCAGCCACACUGGAACUGAGACACGGUCCAGACUCCUACGGGAGGCAGCAGUGGGGAAGAUUGGACAAAGGGCGCAAGCCUGAUCCAGCCAUACCGCGUGGGUGAAGAAGGCCUUCGGGUUGUAAAGCCCUUUUGUUGGGAAAGAAAAGCAGCAGGUUAAUACCCCGCUGUUCUGACGGUACCCAAGGAAUAAGCACCGGCUAACUUCGUG